GCCGGGUGCAGGGGCUUACGCCUGUAAUCCCAAUACUUUGGGAGGCUGAGGUGGGAGUAUCGCUUGAGCCCAGGAGUUCAAGACUAGCCUGGGCAAUAUAGUGAGACCCUGUCUCUC
rnacentral:SRP_RNA from 1 species